rnacentral:lncRNA from 1 species
ACUUGAACAGCGGCGGCAACUCAUGGAUUCCUUCAAAACAGCAGGAAAUGAAAGACCUUAGACCUGACGAGGUGUGAGUCCUGAUGAUGUAGCCUGAAAAUAGUGAGGUCUUACUUAAUCUUUAUGGAAGAAAGUGGAAGAAGCUAAUUAUGGUUAAUCUAGUGAUUGUUGAUUUUUUUCUUGAUUAUAUGCAUCAAAUUCCUAGUUGUUUUCGAAGGAAACAAAAGUAACACCUUAUAUGAUAAGAAAUAGUAAGAGAUUUGAGCUCCUCUUCUGCUAGCACCCUCAGUUCUUAGACCUGAUACUUUCUACAGUUUACAACCAUGCAAGGUGGCUUGAGACACUUGAGACAUGUUUCACAUAUUCUAGGAUUCAUUUUUGAAUGAACUUCUGUAGAAUGGUAGUGCCAUACUUCUGCACAUAAAUUCACAAGUUAGCUAGCAGUAGGAUCAGUGAUAAGCUAAAUUAGAUCGAACUUGCACUAUUGAACAGUUCAAAACUGAAGAGUAAUACAUUUUCUGAUGCUUCUACUUUUCCCUGUUCAACCAUUUGUAGUUCAAUGUGCAGAGGCCUCUGCGUUCAUGGCAAAAGGAACUUCAUGGCGGUGUCCAAGAGGCACGUGGAUCACUCAAUGGCGAUGUGCGGCGGCAACCAAGAUAUAUGCAACAACAACCAAGGUUUUAAACAACAUCUUCAAUGUACUUUGCAAACAGUGGAUCCUUUUCCCUCUCAGAAUACUUCUUAGUCCACCCUCUUGUUGAACAUCACAUAAACGAGAUCAUUCAACUUCUUCCGACCUAAUCUGGUUCUCUUCUUUAAGUGUAACUACAACAUAAAUAUAGUUGUACAUGCCCCUGAUUGUGAUGAAUACAACUGUUACGAUGAUUGACGACAUCAUACAGGAAGGACAAUAUGUGUUCACACAAGAUCAAAAUAUUAUGUAUUGUUUGAGAUGUUGUCAAAUGAGUAAUUUUGUUUGAAAUGUUUUUUAGCUAGUCUAUAAUCCAAAGUCGAGCUCCUUGUCUACUGUAACUGUAAGUAUUACUAACAUGGCAGUAGGGAAAUCUUGCUUCCUUUGUAUAAACAAAAGCAAAGCUUAUAGGCUUGAGUGUAGUCUGCUGCUGGACUAAAGGCCGUAGAGCUGGGGAGCGGACUGGCCAGACUGUAUGAGCUGGACUGUCGGAGGCGGAGCAUGGUGGCCAGCAAGGGGAUGGGGGCAUCAAGCAAGGCUGACCUUGACCGUCGUCGUCCUACUACGGUAUUGCCGGAGGAAGGGCGCCACCGUGUCAGCCCUCACCAGUCGGUCGUUGACCAGGGAAGGGAGUCCAACAGAGGUGGCCGCCCUGCUUCCUCAACGACUGAGAGAGGGUGGAGGCAGUGGGUGGAGGGUAGGGGAUUUGCGCCAUACAGCCAUUCGGUGAGCCUUGCUCUGCCCCUCUCUCCAUCCGACGUCUGCCUCCCCGUAUCUUUCCGCUCCAGAGCAGCAGAUCUGCGCCCGUGUCGAGAUCUAGCACAGACGAAGAAUCGACAAUCAGCGUGCCUCCCUCUUCCUUUCUCCUUCUGUCUCAUGCUCUCUCUCAACUUAC